rnacentral:rRNA from 1 species
AUGGUCUGUUUAUCCUGCCUCAGUUGUGGACGUCGCCCUUCCGUUUCGUGGUGGUGCUUCGGGGCCUGGCUGACCUGUUGUUGGUCCUUGGCAGCUGCCUGUCCUCCUGCUCUUGCUUGGCAUCCAACAUCUCCGAUGAAACAUCCAUGGUGGUUUCUGGCCAUGGUGUGCGCUUGGCGGGAACAACGACCUCCAGAGGCUUGCCCUCUGCCUCCUUCCACAGCAUUCUCGAGUUCAUCACAAACCCAGCCCACUCCAAACCCUUCGGUAGCACCGGCGCUGCCUCGCCAACCACCGUGGCGGUCUUCCCAGAGAACGGCAACGUGUUGA